rnacentral:lncRNA from 1 species
UAAAAGUUGAUACAGUAUGGAGGAAAGGUGUGACCCUUUCUGCAGAUGUGAGAGUUCCCUAAAUGAUUCUCUGGGAUCAUGGGAAAAUACUCAUAAUAAUGGCCAUAGAUUUUUGGUUGUGAGGGAGUCAGACAAGAACAUCAAUGGGUUUGAGGUGUUAAAUUCUUCAAGCUCUCCCAUUGCCUGAGUAUCAUAGUCACAUUUGUACCUUGGAAGUCUCCCUUUGGGAUCAGCAUGUAGGAUGGAUUUAAGCGAAUUGGACUGGAGGGCCUCCAGCCAUUGUA